UUAUUUUGAAGUUCCUGUUCAAUAAGCAAGACCGCUUUACAAGCCCAGGAUAAUAGAGCUUAACCGUGCUUUAUGUUUUCAGCUCAGAGAAACGAUAGCAAGGAUGCAUGUACAGAGAAGGGGUUCCAAGAGGACCGUGUAUUGCACGUAGUACAAAAAAUGACGUCAGAGCGACCUUUGUCGUCUGGUCUCUAUGAGUAUACCAACGAGCCCCGCCAUUCAUCUCCCGUCAGUUCCGGAAGCUUUACUUCCGGAGAGGGGCUUUCCGGUCGGGAGGAGGGAUAUGACUUUGAUUUCAUCAUCAGAGACGAAAAGUACGACUGUCCAAUUUGUCUCCUUGUUUUGAGGGAUCCAUUGCAGACGACAUGUGGACAUCGCUUUUGUAAAAACUGCAUCAACAAAUGGCUCAAGUAAGUGGAUAUGUACAUCAUUAAAAUUUCAAUCAAAAAUUUCAAUGCAUAUUUAAAUGUUUCGAGGAAAAUCAUAAAGCUUGCUGAUGAGACGUACUAUGUAGUUAAAUUUUACUAUUUUUGGGUAAUCAGUUGUGCAUUUCAAUGCAUCACUUUUUGAGUCGAUCAUUUCCUCUACGUAAAUUCCAAUUAAAAAUGAAGGAAAAUUUUGAGAAGGAAAUAAAUAUUUUAUUUAUGGUGUGUAUAAAUAUACAAACUGUAGUGAUGCAUUUCCAAAAGAAAGUUUAUGAAAAAAUAUAAUGGAGGAAAUAAAUAAUUUUAUGUAAUGUAAAUGAAUGUACAAACCGCGUGUGAUGCAUUAUAGUGUUGUUAAGAGAGAGAGAG
rnacentral:misc_RNA from 1 species